rnacentral:miRNA from 1 species
UCUGCACUUGAAGCUGAGCCUG